rnacentral:tRNA from 1 species
GAGAAAGUGACCGAGUGGACUAUGGUGGCUGAUUGUAAAUCAGCUUAGUAAAAACUACAGCGUAGGUUCGAAUCCUGCCUUUCUCA